rnacentral:rRNA from 1 species
GAUGAACGCUGGCGGCGUGCCUAAUACAUGCAAGUCGAGCGAACGGACGAGAAGCUUGCUUCUCUGAUGUUAGCGGCGGACGGGUGAGUAACACGUGGAUAACCUACCUACAAGACUGGGAUAACUUCGGGAAACCGGAGCUAAUACCGGAUAAUAUUUUGAACCGCAUGGUUCAAAAGUGAAAGACGGUCUUGCUGUCACUUAUAGAUGGAUCCGCGCUGCAUUAGCUAGUUGGUAAGGUAACGGCUUACCAAGGCAACGAUGCAUAGCCGACCUGAGAGGGUGAUCGGCCACACUGGAACUGAGACACGGUCCAGACUCCUACGGGAGGCAGCAGUAGGGAAUCUUCCGCAAUGGGCGAAAGCCUGACGGAGCAACGCCGCGUGAGUGAUGAAGGUCUUCGGAUCGUAAAACUCUGUUAUUAGGGAAGAACAUAUGUGUAAGUAACUGUGCACAUCUUGACGGUACCUAAUCAGAAAGCCACGGCUAACUACGUGCCAGCAGCCGCGGUAAUACGUAGGUGGCAAGCGUUAUCCGGAAUUAUUGGGCGUAAAGCGCGCGUAGGCGGCUUUUUAAGUCUGAUGUGAAAGCCCACGGCUCAACCGUGGAGGGUCAUUGGAAACUGGAAAACUUGAGUGCAGAAGAGGAAAGUGGAAUUCCAUGUGUAGCGGUGAAAUGCGCAGAGAUAUGGAGGAACACCAGUGGCGAAGGCGACUUUCUGGUCUGUAACUGACGCUGAUGUGCGAAAGCGUGGGGAUCAAACAGGAUUAGAUACCCUGGUAGUCCACGCCGUAAACGAUGAGUGCUAAGUGUUAGGGGGUUUCCGCCCCUUAGUGCUGCAGCUAACGCAUUAAGCACUCCGCCUGGGGAGUACGACCGCAAGGUUGAAACUCAAAGGAAUUGACGGGGACCCGCACAAGCGGUGGAGCAUGUGGUUUAAUUCGAAGCAACGCGAAGAACCUUACCAAAUCUUGACAUCCUUUGACAACUCUAGAGAUAGAGCUUUCCCCUUCGGGGGACAAAGUGACAGGUGGUGCAUGGUUGUCGUCAGCUCGUGUCGUGAGAUGUUGGGUUAAGUCCCGCAACGAGCGCAACCCUUAAGCUUAGUCGCCAUCAUUAAGUUGGGCACUCUAAGCUGACUGCCGGUGACAAACCGGAGGAAGGUGGGGAUGACGUCAAAUCAUCAUGCCCCUUAUGAUUUGGGCUACACACGUGCUACAAUGGACAAUACAAAGGGCAGCGAAACCGUGAGGUCAAGCAAAUCCCAUAAAGUUGUUCUCAGUUCGGAUUGUAGUCUGCAACUCGACUACAUGAAGCUGGAAUCGCUAGUAAUCGUAGAUCAGCAUGCUACGGUGAAUACGUUCCCGGGUCU